rnacentral:rRNA from 1 species
AUUGAACGCUGGCGGCAGGCCUAACACAUGCAAGUCGAACGAGAGGCGGACAGGUGAGUAAUGUCUGGGAAACUGCCUGAAGGAGGAGGAUAACUACAGGAAACGGUAGCUAAUACCGCAUACCAUAGUAUAUUACCAGAUGGGAUUCGCUAGUAGGUGGGGUAAAGGCGCACAUGGGCGACGAUCCCUAGCUGGUCUGAGAGGAUGACCAGCCACACUGGAACUGAGACACGGUCCAGACUCCUACGGGAGGCAGCAGUGGGGAAUAUUGCACAAUGGGCGCAAGCCUGAUGCAGCCAUGCCGCGUGUAUGAAGAAGGCCUUCGGGUUGUAAAGUACUUUCAGCGGGGAGGCGUUACCCGCAGAAGAAGCACCGGCUAACUCCGUGCCAGCAGCCGCGGUAAUUC